AGCAGCCGCGGUAAUUCCAGCUCCAAUAGCGUAUAUUAAAGUUGUUGCAGUUAAAAAGCUCGUAGUUGAAUUUCGGGAUUGACGUGAUGGUCAUGCCUUAAGGGGUAUGAACUGUUACUGUUGAUUUCUCACCUUCUGGAGAAACUUGAUGUCCUUUAUUGGGUGUCUUGCGGAUCCAGGACCUUUACCUUGAAAAAUUAGAGUGUUUAAAGCAGGCAUUUUUGCUCGAAUACAUUGGCAUGGAAUAAUAGAAUAGGACGGCAUGGUUCUAUUUUGUUGGUUUCUAGGAUCACCGUAAUGAUUAAUAGGGAUAGUUGGGGGCAUUAGUAUUCAAUUGUCAGAGGUGAAAUUCUUGAAUUUAUUGAAGACUAACUACUGCGAAAGCAUUUGCCAAGGAUGUUUUCAUUAAUCAAGAACGAAAGUUAGGGGA
rnacentral:rRNA from 1 species